UGCCUGUACCAUAACCGACACAGGUGGGUAAGUAGAGUAUACUAAGGGGCGCGAGAUAACUCUCUCUAAGGAACUCGGCAAAAUAACUCCGUAACUUCGGGAGAAGGAGUGCCUUAUUCUUAAGGUUGCAAUAACAAGAUCCAAGCAACUGUUUAUCAAAAACACAGGUCUCCGCUAAGUCGUAAGACGAUGUAUGGGGGCUGACGCCUGCCCAGUGCCAGAAGGUUAAAGAAGUCGGUUAGCAAUAGCAAAGCUGGUAACUGAAGCCCUGGUGAACGGCGGCCGUAACUAUAACGGUCCUAAGGUAGCGAAAUUCCUUGUCGGGUAAGUUCCGACCCGCACGAAAGGCGUAAUGAUUUGGAUGCUGUCUCGGAGAGGGGCUCGGUGAAAUAGACUUGUCUGUGAAGAUGCGGACUACCUCCACCAGGACAGAAAGACCCUAUGAAGCUUUACUGUAACUUGAAAUUGAAAUUGGACUUUAUUCGCGCAGUAUAGGUGGGAGGCGUUGAUUAUAAUCUUGUGGGAUUAUUGGAGCCAUCAGUGAGAUACCACUCUUGUAAUGUUAGAUUUCUAACUUUGAAUCAUUAUCUGGUCAAAGGACAGUUUCAGGCGGGCAGUUUGACUGGGGCGGUCGCCUCCUAAACGGUAACGGAGGCGUACAAAGGUUUCCUCUGAACGGUUAGAAAUCGUAUCUAGAGUGUAAAGGCAUAAGGAAGCUUGACUGUGAGACCUACAAGUCGAGCAGGGACGAAAGUCGGUCUUAGUGAUCUGACAGUACUGAGUGGAAAGGCCGUCACUCAACGGAUAAAAGUUACUCUAGGAUAACAGGCUGAUCUCCCCCAAGAGUUCACAUCGACGGGGAGGUUUGGCACCUCGAUGUCGGCUCAUCGCAUCCUGGGGCGGUAGUACGUCCCAAGGGUUGGGCUGUUCGCCCAUGAAAGCGGUACGCGAGCUGGGUUCAGAACGUCGUGAGACAGUUCGGUCCAUAUCCGGUGUAGGCGCUAGAAUAUUGAGAGGAGCCUUCUUUAGUACGAGAGGACCGAGAAGGACAUACCUCUGGUGUACCAGUUAUCGUGCCAACGGUAAACGCUGGGUAGCUAUGUAUGGAGUGGAUAACCGCUGAAAGCAUCUAAGUGGGAAGCCCACCUCAAGAUAAGUAUUCUCAUCACGUAAGUGAGUAAGGUCACGGUAAGACUAACCG
rnacentral:rRNA from 1 species